UACGGAGGAUGCGAGCGUUAUCCGGAUUUAUUGGGUUUAAAGGGUGCGUAGGCGGGAUGCCAAGUCAGCGGUAAAAAUGCGGUGCUCAACGCCGUCGAGCCGUUGAAACUGGCGUUCUUGAGUGGGCGAGAAGUAUGCGGAAUGCGUGGUGUAGCGGUGAAAUGCAUAGAUAUCACGCAGAACUCCGAUUGCGAAGGCAGCAUACCGGCGCCCUACUGACGCUGAGGCUCGAAAGCGUGGGUAUCGAACAGG
rnacentral:rRNA from 1 species